CUUUAAGACAGAGAAAAUACUUUAUACCAAUAGGCAAUGAGUUUUUAGACAAACUGCCAAAGCAUAGGGAAUGAAAGUCAAGAUAGACAAAUGGGAUUAUGUCAAACUAAAAAUCAGCAGAGUGAUGGGUUAGACUAUGGAACGGGAGAAGACAUCUGUGAACUAUUCAUCCAAUAAGGGACUGCUAUCCAGAAUACACAAGGAACUCCCCAAACUGAACAUACACAAAACAAUCCAGUUUAAAAAUGGAAUGAGAAACUCAACAGACACUUCUCAAAAGAAAACAAAUAAAUGGUCAACCAGCACAUAGAACAUGGUCAAACUCACUCAUCAGGUAAUGCAAAUAAACACCAGAAUAAUAUAUCAUCUCAUACCAGUUAGAAUGGCUAUCAUCAAAAAGACAAAAAAAAAAAAAAAAUACAAGCUGGGAAGGAUGUGGAGAAAAGGGAAUAAUGUGGUGGCAAAUUAGCUCAGACAUUAUGGAAAGCAGUAUGGAGAUUCUUCAAAGAGCUGAAAACAGACUCCCAUAGGUUCCAAUGAUACUACUACUGGGCAUCCAAAGGACAUGACAUCUUAACAAAAAGACACUGGGAUUUUCACGGUUAUGGCAGCACAACUCGCAACAGCUAAAACAUGGAGUCCACCCAGAUGCCUAUCAAAGAAUGAAUGGAUAAACAAAACGUAGUGUACACACACACAAUAGAAUGCUACUCAGCCAUAGUGAGGACUGAAAUCUGCCAUUUGCAGCAACACAGAUAAAAGUAGAGGUCAUUGCGUUAAGUGAAAGAAGCCAGGCACAGAAAGACAAAUACUCCAUGUUCUCACUCCUCUGAGGAAACUCAAGAAGUCGACCUCGUAGAAGAAUGGAAGGGCUGUCACCAGACACUGGGAAGGGCAGUGGGGAGGAGACGGGAAGUUCAGCAGGGGACACCAGAAUGCAGACUGCAGGGACCACCUCUGGUUAUUCUUUAGUAACUACA
rnacentral:lncRNA from 1 species